UGUGAGUCACGUGAGGGCAGAAUCUGCUCAAA
rnacentral:piRNA from 1 species